AGCCGUGCUGGCGGGGCGCCGUCUGGAUCUGCUCUAUCCGUGGACGACACGCCAGGCCAUGCCAGCUCUGCGCUGGCUGCGGGUG
rnacentral:tRNA from 1 species